GUUUAUUUGUUUUACCAUUUUUUUUCUUGGUUGUUUAAUGGUUGUCUUACACUACUUGUAUACUUUGGUUGAGCCCUUUUUGUUAUGCUCUUUUAAUAGAGUGUUUUUUUAUCAAAAAAUAUUUUAGCAUACCAUGUUUUUGGAUUAAACUAAAAAAUUUUAUGACAAAGUGAUGGACUUAAGAAUUUUUGCAUCAUAUUGUCUGCAUCAUAUUCCUUCCCACAUUUUUUUAUUCUUAUUUUUUUCUUGGAUAAAUACUCUAUAAAGCAUUUUGUAUGCUCUAUCUCAACUCUCUUUCUCAUUGACUUAUGAUAGUUUUGUCGUGGGAGGAAUUUAUAUUUUUUUUUUCCUCAAUUCUAUGUAUUUACUUUUGAUAUGAAUUUAUGUGUUUUUUCUCAACUCUUUGAAUUUAUAUGUGGUUGUGGUGCAGAUAUAAGAUGUAAAUUUUGCUAUCUGAGGCUUGAAAAAAAUCACAGAAGGCUUUUGUGGCUGCUAAUUUACUCUUGCAAGAGGCACAAGACAAGGACAGUAUCACUUCCAUUAGUCAUUUAGGUCUCAUUGGUAGUACAAAUUAAGUCAACCCUGUAUAUAUAAUGUGCACUUAGAAGCAAGAAGAAAAAAAAAUGAAAAAGAAGCCAAUUGGACCUGUACUUAGAAUCCAUCAAAAGGACUGUCAUUCCUCUUUGUACAUGUAUGCAAAAAGUGAAAUUGAUUUUUGAAUUUUGUAAUGUAUUAUUUCAAUGUCCAACUUGGGCAUGGCAUGUUCCCCAGUUUCCAUAUGGGUGAUAAG
rnacentral:lncRNA from 1 species